UAGUGGUGUGAUCUUCAGGAUGA
rnacentral:piRNA from 1 species